rnacentral:rRNA from 1 species
UAAGGAAUAUUGGACAAUGGCCGCAAGGCUGAUCCAGCCAUCCAGCGUGCAGGAAGAAGGCCCUAUGGGUUGUAAACUGCUUUUAUCAGGGAAUAAACCUCUGGAUUCACUCCGGAGCUGAAGGUACCUGAAGAAUAAGCACCGGCUAACUCCGUGCCAGCAGCCGCGGUAAUACGGAGGGUGCGAGCGUUAUCCGGAAUUACUGGGUUUAAAGGGUGCGUAGGCGGCUUUGUAAGUCAGGAGUGAAAGUUUGCGGCUCAACCGUAAAUUGCUUCUGAUACUGCAUGGCUAGAAUUAGGAUGAGGUCAGCGGAAUGUGGCAUGUAGCGGUGAAAUGCAUAGAUAUGCCAUAGAACACCAAUUGCGAAGGCAGCUGGCUAGACCUGGAUUGACGCUGAGGCACGAAAGCGUGGGGAGCGAACAGGAUUAGAUACCCUGGUAGUCCACGCCCUAAACGAUGCUUACUCGACGUAG